CCCUAGCCCUGAUAGAAGCGGUAUCCUUUUGUGGCGGGGUUCGCCAUAAAAGAUACAAGUGGAUAGCAGGAAAUAGC
rnacentral:sRNA from 2 species